GGGGCCGUGGUUAAGUGGAAGAGCACCUGCUUUGCAUGCAGAAGGUUCCAGGUUCGAUCCUCAGCAGCGGCCUCU